UACGAAGGGGGCUAGCGUUGCUCGGAAUCACUGGGCGUAAAGGGCGCGUAGGCGGUCUUUUAAGUCGGGGGUGAAAGCCUGUGGCUCAACCACAGAAUUGCCUUCGAUACUGGGAGACUUGAGACCGGAAGAGGACAGCGGAACUGCGAGUGUAGAGGUGAAAUUCGUAGAUAUUCGCAAGAACACCAGUGGCGAAGGCGGCUGUCUGGUCCGGUUCUGACGCUGAGGCGCGAGAGCGUGGGGAGCGAACCGG
rnacentral:rRNA from 1 species